CAUAGUUGAAAAAAUUAAAGAAAUGUUUUUAAUAAAAAUUGAAAAUAAAGUAGAUUUUUUCUCCUUCUGUAUUCAAGGAAAAGAAAAGAAAUGAAAAAGAGAAAAAAGAAAAUUGAAUAGCUGGACCAGCGAAUAGACCGAAAUACGAUUGAAAUUACUUUGGUUUCCCCUAGAAGUCAAACUAUGAAGCACUGUAUAGUCCGUAAACUAAGCAGGCGGAGAGACUUGUGUUCCUGAAGAACGAGGUUGGCCUGGUUGGGCGGGGCUUAGUGCAACGGCUCCGUUCUCCACUAGAUGGCGCUGCCCAGCUUACCUGGUUGGAGUGUUGCGACGCUUGUAGGUGUGUAUGCGCAUGCGCAGGAAUAGUGAGCACGGCGUCGCGCAACUACCCAGUGUAGCAGUGUAGCUUCUCUCUCCGACCAGCAAUCACGCUCCCGACCUUUGUCUCGGGCUUCCUGGGGCUUCCUCAGCUCCCGCUUUUACACUGUCCCUGACCAAGCCGUCAGGUUGCCGGGCGGCACCUCCCUCCUGAGUUUUAUCUCCGUCGCUGCUGUGCUUCCCGACCCCUCACUUUGGAGGGACCGCGGCUCGGACCCGCUCAGAUCCUCUGCGGGAGGGUCUCCCCGAGCAAUGGCCGGGUGCCGGCCUCACCCGGGAACGUUCGCGGGACUCUGCUGCUGCCGUCGCCAGAGACUGCGGCUGGGCACCAGCCUGCCCCAGAGAAGGUUCACGCGAUGGUGUAGCGGCAGCGUUGGAGGGAUCAUGCGAAAUCACAACACGCGUCCCGCACCAGGCUUCGCCUUUCCCACCAGAGCAGCGCCAGCCCUGCCUUUUGCCCAAAGAAGGAGAAACGAACUUUGUUCAGAACAGACGGUGGAUGGCACAGCUCCCGUGGCGGGCAUCGCCGAUGGACCCUGGUGUGAACCUGGUAGCCUUCACCCCUGGUCCGGGCAGUCACUACGAAGCAAAUGGAGAUGAAAGCUGUCUGCCUUCUUCUGGACCGAGAGCAAGGCCCUGUUGCCCGGCAGGGGAGUUCGCAUCCUGCCCCUGUGCGGUUACCUGUCUGGCAUUGAGUCCCUCUCUCCCGUCGUGGCCAGAGGCUGCUGUUGUGGACUCUACCCACUAGAUGCCAGUAGUGGUCCCCGUCACUCUUGUGUCGAUCACAAAUCUCUCCAGACGUUGCCCAAUGUCCCGGAAGGGUUAGUUAGGCAAAUUUGCCCCUGCUUGGAGCUCUGCUCUGGAAAGAGUUCUCCCUGGCCGUGAACCCCCUGCCGUCUGUGCUAUGAACAUGCUUCAGGGCUGGCGCCUUUCACGGCGCAGCGGCCAGGCUGACUGAAAGUGCUAACCAGCUGAUGCCCAUUCCUGAUUUAGAACCCGUCAUGAGCUUCCUGCUGCCCUCAGGACAAGCUCUGGAGCUCCACCUUGUCCUUGGGGGCCCCUUCUCUCUACAGCAUCAUCUUGGACCACUCUCUUCCCGCAUCACGUGGGAUGGCACAGGUCACAGGUGCUUCUUGGGGGACUGCCACAGCGAGGGCCACAGAUGCUAGCCUGGGACCUGCUGCUGCCGAGGCCGGGGUCCCAGUCCCCGUGCAUGCUGAUGGCUUCCUCUGACAUCGUGGGGUGCUCUGGGGCCCGCUGCUGGGCAUCCUGGGCCUGCGCCCUGGGCAGGCAAAUGUGCCAGAGAGUGAAUAUGCCCCAGUGAUCCUCAGUGGGCGAGGGGUGGGGGUUGGCGGGUAAGUGGCCCUUCCCCUUGCCUGUCAGUGGGAUCAUUCUGAUGCAUUUUUCAGUCUCCGGCGGAUGGGUCCCCAGGUGCCCGUUGCAGGUCCUGCACGAUUGCUCUCCCUGUUGGUUUCUCCCUGUCCCACCUCACUCUUCACUGCCUGGCCGAAGCUCCCUACCACCCCCAAUAAAGAGUUUGCACCCAGGUCCUGUCUCGGGCUUGAGUUGUACAUUCAUGACUGAAGGGUGUCGAACGCGGAGCAUAAUGUGGACACGACCCAGCCCACCCCCGUGGCUUGCGAGCAGUGGCUUUUUAGGACCCCCAGCUGUCCUGAGAAUGGCCUCACCCAUCUCCCAUGGGACUCUCAGGGCAUGGAGCCCUGCCUGAGCCGCUUCCAAAAACACUGAGGGGAGUCGUAGAAGGGAAGGCAGGCAGGUGUGGUGGGAAGGGAGAGGAUGGAGUUGGGUGUUGGCUGUGAGCCCUGCCCUGGCUGUCUUCUGUGAUUUGGGGCAAGUGACUUCUCUUGCCCCAAUUUUCUGCUCUCGAGGACCAUUGCAGGAUUUAUCAUCUGGACAGGGGCACAGGGGGUAUGAGGGGGACGCUCUCAGUAACUAUGCCGGAACCAUGGGCAUGCGCCAGGAUGUGGGAUCCUCUGCCUCGUCUGCUAAGCACGGAUAAUAACGCUCCCAUUGGGGGACCCAGAUUAAGACCUAUGUGACUAUGUUAAUCUUUGCACACAGUACAAGACAUGACACCAUUAUCACCUCAUUCGACAGAUGAAUAAACUGACACCAAGGGGAGUUCACUGACUGGCUUAGGGUCCAGAACUUGCUCAUGUGCAGGUACACGUUUGGUGCCCUUGACCAUGAUGUCACAAUGGAGGGGUGGUGCUGCUGGCGUUGCUGGCCUGGUAGCCCCCGUUCUCCAAGUUCUGCACCAUGCUUAACAUCAUCUGGUGUGUCCUCACCACCACCCGGGGAGGCGAGACGUGACUGUUCUCCCCACCCGCAGACCCAACCUCCACACUUGCCUGCUUCAGUUUCUGAGAUGUGCUACCCCCACCCCCCGCACUCCCAGUGUGCUGAGGUUAGAGGCUCCCACAGGACCUGCCUGGGUGGGCCUGGAGCCCUCCUGGCUGUUCUCAGGACUCCUGGGAAUCGUGGAGGAGCCAUCCCUCACUGAGCUCAUGGAUGGGCUGAGUCUACAUCGUGCUCAGCCAUCAGCGUCCUUUAAAUAUGAACGUAUAAAUUGAGCCUCUUAGUUUCAAGGUGGUAAAACUAUUUGUUUAAAAUAGCUUCCGCUCAGCCCAUCCUCACAGAUAAACAUAAAUAAAUCAUACCACUUUUCCAUGAAUUAUGCAUUAAAUACAUAUCUGUAAAGCUUCCCCGUCAAUGGUAGGGCUUUGAACAUAUGGGCUUUUAAUUGGACACUAAAUCAAUUUUCCUAUCUCCAUUGAUGGAAUUUAAAAAACACUCCUAGCUUUAUUUCAAACGUCUGUCCUUGUUACCUGAUAA